CCUACGGGAGGCAGCAGUGGGGAAUAUUGCGCAAUGGGCGAAAGCCUGACGCAGCGACGCCGCGUGAGGGAUGAAGGUCUUCGGAUCGUAAACCUCUGUCAGCAGGGAAGAACGGUCACUGUGCUAAUCAGCAGUGAAUUGACGGUACCUGCAAAGGAAGCACCGGCUAACUCCGUGCCAGCAGCCGCGGUAAUACGGCGGGUGCGAGCGUUAAUCGGAAUUACUGGGCGUAAGGCGCUCGUAGGCGGUAGGUCAAGUCAAGGGGGAAAUCCCCGCGCUCAACGUGGGAACUGCCUUUGAAACUGGCAAACUGGAGUGGGUGAGAGGAUAGUGGAAUUCCAGGUGUAGGAGUGAAAUCCGGAGAUAUCUGGAGGAACAUCAGUGGCGAAGGCGACUAUCUGGCACAUAACUGACGCUGAGGAGCGAAAGCGUGGGUAGCAAACAGGAUUAGAUACCCUAGUAGUC
rnacentral:rRNA from 1 species